UGGGGAAUAUUCCACAAUGGGCGCAAGCCUGAUGCAGCCAUGCCGCGUGUAUGAAGAAGGCCUUUGGGUUGUAAAGUACUUUCAGCGGGGAGGAAGGGAGUAAAGUUAAUACCUUUGCACCUUGACGUUACCCUCAGAAGAAGCACCGGCUAACACAGUGCCAGCAGCCGCGGUAAUACGGAGGGUGCAAGCGUUAAUCGGAAUUACUGGGCGUAAAGCGCACGCAGGCGGUUUGUUAAGUCAGAUGUGAAAUCCCCGGGCUCAACCUGGGAACUGCAUCGGAAACUGGCAAGCUUGAGUCUGGUAGAGGGGGGGAGAAUUCCAGGUGUAGCGGUGAAAUGCGUAGAGAUCUGGAGGAAUACCGGUGGCGAAGGCAGCCCCCUGGACGAAGACUGACGCUCAGGGGCGAAAGCGUGGGGAGCAAACGGG
rnacentral:rRNA from 1 species